rnacentral:lncRNA from 1 species
AUGUUUAACAAUAUAUAUAUAUAUAUAUAUAUAUAUAUAUAUAUAUAUUUUUUUUUUUUUUUUUUUUUUUUUGAGAUGGAAUCUUUCUCUAUUGCCCAGGCUGGAGUGCAGUGGCAUGAUCUUGUCUUAUGGCAAUCUCCACUUUCCGGGUUCAAGCAAUUCUCCUGCCUCAGCCUCCUGAGUAUCUGGGAUUACAGGCUUGAGCCACCACGCCCAGCCUAUCUUACUUUUCUUAAUCCUUCAUAUAUGAUAUUUCUGUACUCACUUGAUAGAAGAAAUAUGUAAAAUCCUACACAAUUUGCCAUCUGGAUCUGGGAGAAUUAAUGAUUAUAUAUUUAGCUGAAGGUACACACAUGUACACUUACAUGCACACACACGAAGAUACUCAUUUCAUUAUCUAAAGAAAAUAAAUAAAAUGAGGUAGUUUAUUUUUUCAGUUUAAAAGCAUCGACAGCCUGAGCAUUCGAUUACUUCUCUCUCGGAGCCCACAAGCUAGAAUUAACAUGUUGAUACAUAUUUAUAACUGUGUUAUCCAGGUUUUAAUAAUAGAUUUUAGUUAACCUCAAAGAGUUAGUAUAAGUCUAUCUAGAAAGACAAUAGCAAAGACUCUUGUUUUUGCUUCUGGUUUUAGGCUUAAGAGGAACUUCUUUUUUGAUUUUGUUCUUUUUAUUCUUCUGUCAUGUAAGAGAUAGACUAUAUACGAUUUUCACAGAUGUGUAUAAUAGAAAAUAAUACCUGCUUGGGAGGGUCUUUGGCUUCCUUAAGGAAUGAACAAAUUAGUAUGGCCCACUGUUUUUAAAUCUGAGAUGAAACCUGAGAUGUAUUUUUAAGCCUAAAAUGGAUUUAAGUAAACAGAGUCAGCAACCAGCCUCCUAGAUAUGUUCAAUUAAAUAUUUAAAUUUGAGUAGCCAUUAAGUACUUGUAUCAUAUUAGAAAUGUGUUGUUGUGGUUCUUAAGUGCAUGCUUUAAUGAUAUUGGGAAUGAAAAGCUUUUAACUUUAUUGCAUACUUUAUUGUAUGUUGUGUGAUUAUUGGAUUGUUUUCAAAUUAUUAAGUUAUCAAAAUAUAUUAUAUAAGUCUUAGGAAAAUGGAGUUUGUCAUGUUUUCAAAAGAUAGUAAUAUUUCUCAGGUUUUUUCUUUUUGCUGUUAAUAUUAUUGAUUUCUUUUAAUAAAAGAGAAUUUCUGAGUAUAUAUUUAUAUCAUCUUGAAACUCUUGUUCUCUGUGCAUAGGGCAAUAUUUUAGUUAUUGAACUGAAAUUCUUCCAGUGAAAAUAUAUUCCUGAAUUCUAGCCAGUCCCUUACAGUAUUUGAGAAAAUUAUGAAAAAAAUUUAAAAAAAUCAGGACAACUUGAAUUGCUGGUUGUGUCUUAAUUUGUCCAAUUGGUAUGAAAGCUACGUUAAUAACCAUUUCAAAAAUGGAACCAACUGAAAAUAAACUUGAUAUGGAUAAUUCCAGCCUUUCCAAUGUCUCAUUUUUGUUGACCAGCUCAAUAUUAUUUGACUUUUAAUGCUUUUUACGUGUUUUAAAAGUAAAAGACCUGAUUUUUCUCUGUAAGCAGGAAUCAUUUUGGCAUAUUUAAAGGAGGGGGCGUAUGGCACAUACCCUUGGGCAGAAUCUCUCGCACUGUGACUUUGUGCUUCUGCUUAUUCUCUUCCUGCCUCAAAAGUAGCUGCAGCUCAUCAGGACUCUAUUCACAGUAAUUGGUGCAAUCUUUUUGGAAUCCUUCAGGCUGUAUAAAUGUCAAAUGUUGCUGCUAUUGCUGUUAUUAAUGGGACUUUGGGUUGAGAGAGAGAAAGAAGGAAUAGCUGGACUGUAUUAACAUGCAUUGACUGCAUAUUGACUGCAAAGAACUGUAUCUCCAGGAAGGAAGUUACAUUUCCAUGAUUAAGUAUGCAAUUGAGAGACAGCAAUCUGGUUAAAUAGAGGAAUGAUUUGCUCUUUAACAAGCAGUUAGUUCUACCUGGAAGGGAAAAUAACUAUUUCUCUCCCUUUUAUAAAUCUGUCCCUGUUUAGUGCUUUGGGGACUGCAUAAGGGUACACCACACAUAAAGGAAUCUUCACAAGCCCUGCAAUUUCCUCAUUUUAUCCUGCUGUAUCCAUUGAGUAUAUGUGAGACCCCCCAGAACACAAUAUGUGAGACAUACAUAAAAUGAAAGAAAAAAAGUACUGUUUAAUUUUUUCUUUUUUUCUUACAAAAGGAAUAUAAAACUGGCCUCUUUUCUUCCAAGAAUCCUUCAACCUUUUCUAUCUUUGUGGCAUCCAUUCAACAUGUGUCAACACUAAGUGGACUCUGGCAGAGUCUUUAAUGGGGACACGUCGUGUCUUUUGCCAGGAGAGGAAAAGAAACACUCCCCUAUAUUACUCUACUGUUCUCUGAAGGAAAUGAAGGUGGGGAAAAUGAAGGCCAGGUCAAACCAUCUAUGUACUGUGACACAUGCCUCCGCUUUUGUGCACUUUAAGAUUAUUAUACAUUACACUGGAUAGCACUUAAUUAUUUAAAGUGACUUUUACUUUAUUAUUAUAGCCAAUGUAUGAUUGAGUCCUUGCUGGGAAUGCCAAGUUCUUCUGUUUCUGAAAGAAAGGACCAAGUUUAGAUGUCAAAUAGAGAUGCCAGAGUGUAAUUUAACAGGCAGAGAGGAACUAGGCCGUAUUCCAAUGAAGCCAACCUGACUGGGUAAUUCUGCAGAAACUGAGUAUGGGCAGUCUCCUUUAAGAGAAGAGGUGAUGGAAUCAUCUGGACUUUCAGUAAUCCCAUACUCAUCAUUUACAUCUGGGCAACAUGGCAUAGUGAGAACCGUCAUUUUAUACAAACUUUAGAUAGAAUUUGUACUCUAAAGAUUGAUGAUUCAAUAUAGGUACUCCAAUGACCAGGAGAAGCUGAAUAAUUAAUUUAACUUCCCUGAGUCUCAUUUUCUCUCUAUGUAAAAAGGAAGUUUUAACAUCUACCUCAGAAUUGUUAUUAAGAUUAAGUGAGGCUAAUGUAUGUGGAAGCACCUAUAUAAUGUGCUUAGUGGGUACCUGAUAAACAUCAGUUCCCUUCUCUUUCAGUUUGAAAUGCCAUUAUGGUCUCUGUAAUGGCCACUUAGAAGCAGGGACCAACUCACUGUAAAAUAGCAGUGACCAGCCGUGGCAGUCUGGCAGAAGUGACAGUCGCAUUUUAUAUUAGUACAUAUGUUGUAAAAAGGCAUAAUUACCUUUACUAGUUCUCUCUGUGGCCAAGAGGCCGACACUAUGACCAGCUGAGUAGAUAGAUAGCACUAACAAGAAAUAAUGAAUAAAAUUUGAGUUCUGAGUGGUGGCAGUUUUACUCUGGGUUUCCCCCACUGAGACAUGUUGACAUUUCUAAUAAUGUGGCACUGUGACUUGCAGGCCUGCCUAGAAAUAUGUAUUGGGUGCUUCGAUUAAGAAGACUAUUAGCAUGAUGAAUAAUGUCUGUAACGUUCAUGAAUUUAGUGAGUAAUAAGAGAAUACUUAGAAAAACAGAGCUUGGUGGGGUGCAUAUUUAAACUUGGGGAAGAUUUCCAGUAGUGGAAAGAUGAGUCCAGAGAUUAGAGAUGAUGGAUUUUUAUAAGCUGCCUUAUCUGCCACCUAUUUUACAUAUGAAUCAAACUCUACUUAGGAUGGAAUGAAGAAGCUUUCCUACUUUAUAUGUAAUUCAUUUUAAUUUUAAUAACAAAAAUUUUAAUCUACUUUUUAAAUUUUGAAUUUUAUGCUAAUAUUCUAUACAUGUUAACAGCUUUAGUGAGGUUUAAUACAAUAAUAUUCAAAAAUUGGAAAUGUACCAUUCUAUAUUUUUUUGUAAAUCUUUGGAAUUGUACGGUCAUUGCCACAAUCCGGCUUUAAGAUAUGCAGUCAAACUCCAAAUUUCCCUCAUCCCCUUUGAAGAUAUCUCCCAUUUCUACUCCCUGCCUUUGGCAACUAUUGAUCUGUUUUGUCUCCAUAAAUUUCCCUUUUUUUGACAUUCCACAUUCAUUAAAUCAGACAAUACAUAGUCUUUUGCAUCUGGUUUCUUUCACUUAGUAUAAUAUUUUUGAGGUCCAUCAUUUAAUAGCAUGUAUCAGUAAUCCUUUUUUUUUAUUGUUGAAUGGCAUUUUAUUUUUAUAGUUACAUCACAUUGUAUCAAUUAUUGGGCUAUUAUGAAUGAUGCUUCUAUGAACAUCGUGUAGAUGUCUUUUUAUAUGUACAUUUUUACUUGUCUUGGGUAGAUUUUUAAGAGUGGAGUGUCUGUUUAACACUGUAACCGCCAAAAUACUUUCUCAAGCAGCUAUACUAUUUUACAUUUUUAUUCAUUUUCCAUUUUUAUUAGCAAUAUAUGAGCAUUCCAGAUUUCUACACCCUUGCUAACACUUCAUAUUAUCUGUUCUUUGUUAGAAGCUAUACUGUGGUAUUUCAUUGUAUUCAUUUGCAUUUCUCUAAUGAUAAAAGAUGCUGAACAUUUUCAUGUGCCAGUUAGCUAUUCAUGUAUCUUCUUUGUCAAAUGUCUGUUCAAAACAUUUGGUUAUUUUAUAAUUAUUCAUCUUUGUCCAAAUUAUUUAUCUGAUGAAGGAUUAUAAAUAUAUAUUCUCCUACUAUGUUGCU